rnacentral:tRNA from 1 species
UUGUGGCUCAGUGGUAGAGCGCUUGCCUAGCAUGCAUGAGGCACUGGGUUCGAUUCUCACACAUAAA